GUUCGAUCAGCUCAUCGGGAGGUUGAGUUGCCUGGUACAGAUAAGACUAUGGAUCAACAACUGGUUUUCUUUGUCAAUGGGAACAAGGUCGUGGAGUCGAGCCCGGACCCAGAAACGACGCUUCUUCAGUACUUGAGGACCAAGUUACGUCUGACGGGCAGUAAGCUGGGAUGUGGCGAGGGCGGAUGCGGGGCGUGCACCGUCAUGGUGUCCCGAUACAACAGCCGCACGGACACCAUAUC